AACGAACGCUGGCGGCAGGCUUAACACAUGCAAGUCGAGCGCCCCGCAAGGGGAGCGGCAGACGGGUGAGUAACGCGUGGGAAUCUACCCAACCCUACGGAAUAACGCAUGGAAACGUGUGCUAAUACCGUAUACGCCCUACGGGGGAAAGAUUUAUCGGGGAGGGAUGGGCCAGCGUUGGAUUGGCUAGUUGGUGGGGUAAAGGCCUUCCUAGGCGACGAUCCAUAGCUGGUCUGAGAGGAGGACCAGCCACACUGGGACUGGGACACGGCCCAAGCUCCGACGGAGGGCAGCAGUGGGGAAUAUUGGACGAUGGGGGCAAGCCUGAUCCAGCCAUGCCGCGUGAGUGAUGAAGGCGCUAGGGUUGUAAAGCUCGUGCACCGAUGAAGAUAAUGACGGUAGUCGGAGAAGAAGCCCCGGCUAACUUCGUGCCAGCCGCCGCCGUAAGAC
rnacentral:rRNA from 1 species